ensembl:lncRNA
CCCAAAUGUGAUUGUAGUUAAUACUGUGAUUUUCUGGUAACGUGGUGGCCGUGUGUUUGAUCUCACAGCCUGCCCCUGUGGCCUCUUCACUCCCAUCCAGGUCGAUGCCAACCUAGCUGCCUCUCACCACUUCACUUGUCUUCAUGGGGGAACUUCUGGGCCCCGACCUGCAGCCCACCAGCCAUGGAGACCCAGGCCAUGUCCUCCGGUGAUCCAUCUCCUCGCAUCCCAUGCCUCCUGGGCACCACUGUUCCUGCUUCAUGUUGCAGAUGGCAGACUGCCCUGGAAGGUCCCAGCAGCAUGUGCUCAGCUGAUGGUUUGGGCUCCCCAUACCUAACCCAGUGCCUCUAAAGCCCCUGAGGCCCGCUUUGAGAGAUGCGGGACUUAGGGGGUGGGGAUCAUACUCCUUGUCCCCAAAUUUCUCCCUCUCUCUAUCUUCCUUCUUCUCUCCAUUCAUCAGGCGAAUGGGCGAGACCUCUUUCAGGUAGAACUCCCGGACAAGGUUUGCCAGACUUGCCUUCUGAAAUGCUAAAGAAAGGUAGAAAGAGGGAUUGAGGAAAACCCUUUCUCUCCUAACAAAGCCUUUCUGUAGCUUUGCUAAUCCUAUUGUAGAUGCUCACGUUGAACCUGUACCUUUCUCUUGGUGUUUACUUUCACAUCCUAGUAUUCCACCCACAACACUCCUCCACUCAAUAGGAAGAAGGUCAUUUACGGAGAAGUGCAUAAAACAAAAGCACGUAACAUAUAACAUGAUUGAACAUGAUCACUUUCCCCUGCUGUGGUCAUGUGCAUCCUACACGGAGUUGCCUCUGCUGGAGGUAGCUCCAGGGCGGGAAGGGCUCCAUUCCUUUUCACGGCGCCAGGCCUCUCCCUUUCCCUGAUUGUUUGGCUGAAGAGAGUCUGGAAAAUCUCCAGAAAAUUAAAACUAAUCUGAAACAGGCUGUAAGUGGCAUGGGAGAAGCGGCAGGUGUGGACACGGGCAACCUUGCCGUGAGAUGGAGGUCUCUGAGUGUGGAAAGCGAGUGAUCUGCAGACGGACAGUGCCCACGGGGCACUCGGCCUUCGAGGGCAGCGUGGGAACAUGCGAAGAACAGGACCCCAGCCUCCAGUUGCAACCAGAAUCCCCCUGUGGCUCCCAAUAUCCCUGGCCUCUCGAUGCUACAACAGUGGCUGUGUUUUUCUGCAGUUCAGUAUACCUAGAAUUGUGCAGGAAAAUUCCUCAAGGUAUUUCUCUAUUUCAUGGUUACCUACCUCUCUUGGAAGGGUGGAAGAGUGGGAGAAAGGAUGGAGAAGAAAAACUCAUAUUUACAGAAUACCCACUGUGUAUUUAACAGCAAAUAUUUAUUGAGCACCUCUAGAUAUUGGGCCUUUGAACAUUUCAUGCCAUUCUUCCAAGAACCUUACUGGGAGGGUAUCCUCCUGCUCAUGUUGUCAGCGAGCACUCUGGUAGGUGCUCAUUUAUUCCUGCAUAUGCAUUAGAAAGCAGGUUAUUCUUUAAGGUUUUAUGAUGGGUGGUUCUUUCUCAGCAUUGUGUGCAUUUGAUUCACAGUUGGCCGACAGAUAAUGAAAUUUUCCAAUACUCUGAUGUAAGCCUUGGAAUUAUGACUGCGUGUGGGGUUGGACAUUGUCUCGAGUUCAGCACCAAAGGAUGUUUACCUGCUUGUGGAUGCAGUAAAGUCUGCCUCCAGUCACAGGCCCCAGUGCUUUCUAUACCUGGGUCUUGAUGUAGAAAUAUAGAACAUGGAAUACUGGUUCAAACUGACAUCCAUUCUUCAUUCAUUCAUUCAUUCAUUCAACAAAAACGUAAUACGCUCUUGUUUGGCUAAACACUGGAAUUGCAGAAUCGAAAAUCCUUUGCCCCUGCCCUGAAGGAGCUCACAUGUUGCAUAGCAUUCCCAGGAUCAAAAGAUAGGUCCUGGCUGGUCACGGUGGCUCAUGCCUGUAAUCCCAGCACUUUGGGAGGUCAAGGCCGGUGAAUCGCCUGAGACCAGGAGUUUGAGAGCAGCCUAGGCAACAUGGUGAAACAAAAAUA